GAGCAUGUAGCUCAGAAGAUUAGAACACGUGGCUAGGAACCACGGUGUCAAGGAUUCAAAUCCCUCCUCGCUCA
rfam:Hordeum vulgare subsp. vulgare, WGS project CAJW01000000 data, contig: morex_contig_93084